rnacentral:rRNA from 1 species
UGGGGAAUAUUGGACAAUGGGCGCAAGCCUGAUCCAGCCAUGCCGCGUGAGUGAUGAAGGCCCUAGGGUUGUAAAGCUCUUUCACCGGUGAAGAUAAUGACGGUAACCGGAGAAGAAGCCCCGGCUAACUUCGUGCCAGCAGCCGCGGUAAUACGAAGGGGGCUAGCGUUGUUCGGAUUUACUGGGCGUAAAGCGCACGUAGGCGGACUUUUAAGUCAGGGGUGAAAUCCCGGGGCUCAACCCCGGAACUGCCUUUGAUACUGGAAGUCUUGAGUAUGGUAGAGGUGGUUGGAAUUCCGAGUAUAGAGGUGACCUUCAUAGAUAUUCGGAGGAACACCAUUGGCGAAGGCGUCUCAAUGCACCCUUACUGACGCUCAGGUUCGCAAGCGGGGGGAGCAAACAGG